UCGCCAAUCUCGUUCCCCAUAUUAUACUCGGACCAGGGGGCAUGUGGGUUUGUGUUCGCUGUGCACUCCUCGUGUCCUCCAGGGCACUUUACUUGGAAGCCUUUUCCUCUCAGCCAGGACCCAGUCCAACACAAUUUAUUCUUCAGUGCUGCGGAGACAAUGUAUUGCUUGUCUGUUGAUGUCUCCACUGCCAGGGAAAUGGCUUGUGAAGCAUUCUGGCCCGGUUUCUUGGGACUGGUUAUGGUAAUGCUGUUGUAGCGAGUGUCUGUGGCCAGAUCUAUUGUGCUGUCAUCCUCUCCUCUUUGCCUUUUGUAUGCCUUUACCUCUUCCACCUUAUUUGCCAUAUCCUCUCUGUUCAGCUUUGCGAUUGCAGAUGCGACAUGGUUUGCAGUGCGAUGCAUGUUCCUACGAGUGGCAGGCGGCACGUCCAUCGCUGCAAAUAGGAGUCUGGCUCGGGUGUUCCCCAUUGGUGUGUCCUGGAGGCCUACUUGAAGAGCUCGGUUCACCGCUGCAGCUUUUUGGCCAGAUGCCAAUGUGACACCCUUUGAUGUGACUGUGUAGAGUAAUAACCUGCUGUGAGACAACAGCAAUGGUGCAGGGAGGUUUUUGCAUGAUAAACAUCUUGUCUUUCCAAAACAGUUGACCUGAUGGAGAUAUCUUGAACGGUAUAUGCACUGCAAAGCUUCAAAGUUUACCCUUCAGAGUUUUUUCACCCUGAAAAAAAGACACAUGUCCAAGAUGGGGGUACCCCAACUUGAAUUCAUUCAACUCCAAAGUUUCUGCAUGUAUCAAGCCCUAAUUUUGCCUGUGAGGUUCAGAAGUGUCAGGAAUUGUGUGGUGCAAAAAUUAUUGAUUUUGAAAAAAGGUGGCUGGUGUGAUAGGACACAGACCCCCAUUACAACUUCCGUUUUUCGGUAGGGACGAUUGUAGUUCUGUGAAUUUUAGGGUAUAAAGUCUUUUUUUGCUCCCAGGCGUCCAUUUUUGGUGCACAGGUGCAUGCUUGGUAUUAAAAUGCUGGAAACUGUCUAAACUUUGAGGAGGUAUGAGCUUUAUUGAUGAAAGUUUGAAACUCUGGGCGAGAGGACACAAGGUGUGAGGUAGUGAUGAGGCUGCGAGUGACGUCCCCUUGGCGUUGCUAGGCACGCCUCCCAGCUGCCGGCAUGGAAAGGUCCAGAUUUUGACGGUCAACCUAUGUCAAGAUUUUUAUGGCUUCUUUCUCACAGGCUGGGCCAGGUAUGCACCAAAGCUUAUUGGCCACGGAAUGUUUGGGACUGAGCUACAGUGCUAGACGUUAACAUUGUCGCUUAUGGAAAAUUAA